rnacentral:lncRNA from 1 species
GAGGUUUGCUAGCAAACCAAACUCUAACAAAGAACACUGUUUAUUUUUUCUUUUCUUUUCUUGAGAUAGAUAUUUUUUAUUUUAAGUUCUGGGAUACAUGUGCAGAACGUGCAGGUUUGCUACAUAGAUACACAUGUGCCAUGGUGGUUUGCUGCACCUAUCAACCCAUCAUCUAGGUUUUAAGCCCUGUUUUGAUUUGAAUAUUAUUCAAUACAAGUGAAGAUUGAAAUGUGGACAUUUAUGCUAAGAACAGCUUCUGGAAUUAUAGAUUUGCCUUGUAUUCUUACCAAUUGUAAGAUGGAUAAACAAGCAGAAAUUCAAAAUGACAUAAUUAUAUUUCUUUGCAUCUGGAUUUUAUUCUGUUCCUGGUUCAAGUUUCAAGAUUGCCAAGAAUGACGAGUUGGACUUGGUCUAGUUACUUCCACAGCAGCAGGAGGAACAUGUGUGUGACUCAGGAUAACUGGGGAAGCCUUGGCUAGGCUUUCCUCAUGUCAACCUACCACUCAAAGGGAGAAAACCUCCUGAUCAGAGGUGCCCAGAACCCAGGAAAUCCAUAAUUUUUGAAUGCUGGCUGAGGUCUGUGACCUCUGACUGAAUGGUUUCCAAGCUCCGAAUUCCUAGGUGAUGUUUUCAUUUGUUCACAGUUGCUGAAGAAGGGAAAGGCUCUCUGAUUUACGUGUAAGCAAAACAAUCUAAACAGUAGGAUAAAAUCAUGUUGGAAUGGAGUUCUGUGUGGAUGCUCCUUUGA